rnacentral:rRNA from 1 species
GACGAACGCUGGCGGCGUGCUUAACACAUGCAAGUCGAGCGGUAAGGCCCUUUCGGGGGUACACGAGCGGCGAACGGGUGAGUAACACGUGGGUGACCUGCCCUCAGCUCUGGGAUAAGCCUGGGAAACCGGGUCUAAUACCGGAUAUGACUCCAUGACGCAUGUUGUGGGGUGGAAAGCCUUGUGCGGCUGAGGAUGGGCCCGCGGCCUAUCAGCUUGUUGGUGGGGUGAUGGCCUACCAAGGCGACGACGGGUAGCCGGCCUGAGAGGCGACCGGCCACACUGGGACUGAGACACGGCCCAGACUCCUACGGGAGGCAGCAGUGGGGAAUCUUGCGCAAUGGGCGAAAGCCUGACGCAGCGACGCCGCGUGAGGGAU